UACGUCGAAGUCCGGACCUCCAUAAUUAUAUGUAGGAUAUAGCCUAUCAAUAAAAAAAUUAAUAAAAAUCAUUGAUAACAUGAUUAACUUAAAUUAAGGCUUUAGGACCAUGCAGACGUAGCUGAUUACACCAUCGCAACGCUCAUUUCAAGUUGAAAAGCUUCCCUAUCAGUGUACAGACUUGAAGCACAUGAAAAUUACUGAGAGCACCACUCUUUGCGGGCAGCGUUUUGGCAGAAAAAUCUGUUUUGUGAAUUUCCGGGUGGGUGACACGCUGUGCACAUUUACGCUUGGAUCCACUGGAGCAGUAGAAAUGUUAGAGACCAACAUCAAUACAACAAUAAAGAAACCACCUGGAAAGCUACAAUGACUGGGAGCGUUUCAAGACUGGUGGUGGACCCCCAGAAAGACCGGAGACCGACGACCUAGAGACUUGUUGACUUCGAUCACUGAUAGCCAGCAGCCCCUGGAAGGUAUCCCUGAUGAUGAUCAUUUGGACAGUUCAGAUGGGGCCCCGUUCCAAUCCUCAUUUGAUGAUCACCAGAGCUUGGAGGUCCUGAGACAGGAUGAAAGUCAGCCCACUACAGCUGCAGCAGCCUGGAGGGAAGAUGGUGUCACUAAUUCUGGCCAGAUGAGAAGGACCAAGAGGCUGACCAUGCACGGGAAACUGGCCAUGGAAUUCCAUGAGCACAAAUUAAAGCAUUUAAAAGAUGAACAUGAAAUAAAGAUGAAAAUACUUCAUGUUGAGUUAGCCAUGAAGGAGGAACAGAGAAACAUGAAGCAGCAGCAGUACCAAUGUUCUACUGAAACCAGCACCAGUUCAGGGUCCCGAUAUCUCAAUUUGUGAAAUAAAACUUUUGUUCAUAAUCAAUCUGUGGCAAUUGUUGUCUUCAAUCAUCUGAGGUAAACUUCAUUGUGAGAAGUGCUGCAAAGAAAAGGCAUCUCUGCAUGCCAGUCCAUACCUUUCAUUGUCUGGCUCAACCAUGGGAAGAUCUGCUUCAUCCCUAUGUUCCAUUUGAGGAUCUGGGGAGCCAUGCUGUUAGAGGUAAUUGUGAAGAACUGCUGUUGCAAUUAUGACAAUACAGCAUCUUCUUGGUUCAAAGCGCAAUGUGUUUCUGAGACACUGGAAACGACUCUUCCAUACACCAAACAUGCGCUCUACUGUGCCUCUGGUAUGGAUAUGAGCUUGGUUGUACCGCUACUGCUCAAGUGUGCAGGUAAGGGGUGAACAAGAAGUUGGUCUGGGCAUACCCUCUGUCACCAAGUAUGAUUCCACUUUGUGAGCACCUUUAAACUGAUCGUACAGACAGGAGUUCGGGAAAAUUCUUGAGUCAUGAGUUGCACCUUUCCAAUGUACAACAAUGUUGGAGAACUGCAUAGUGGGAGUGCACACACCUUGUACAUUUUUUGAGAACCAGUUUUUACGAUUUAUAUACUCAUCAGAAUCUGCAGUAGAGGGACACUUUAUUGGAAUAUGACAUCCAUCAAUACAGGAAAUGACUCCAGGGAAGUUUCUAUAUGCAAAGAACUCCACCUUGUAGUUGGCUUGGCCAGCAGCAUCAGGAAACUUGAUGUAGUCGUCCUUCAGUUCACAUAUAGCUUUGCACACUUUGUGAACUAUUUUGCACACAGUUGGUUCACUUACGCCACACAAAUCGCCUGUUUCACGAUGGAAGGUUCCACAUGCCAAAAACCUUAAGGUGAUCAGUACUUGUAGCGAAGGAGGGAUAAGCAUUCCCCUACAGGAAUCAGAUGAAAGGCUUGUGUCAAGCAGAAUAAUUAGUCUGCUGCAGUUGCUUUGUACAUGCGAAAACGGUCACGAAAGUUGAUUUCAUCAUUCAGCGGGUUGCUCCUGUCCAUAACCACCCUUCUGUCUGGUCUAAAUGGAGCUCUUUCAUCAUCAUUAAUAUAGUCCAGGUAAUCCAUUUUCCUCUAUUCCUAAUGUCAAUCUGGAGGCCAACAGUCGGAGGCCGACUACUUUAAACCAUGUCUGAGAAAUCCAAUUCCAGUUAGUCCGGCUUAACUCUCCAUUUUAGUCUGGUACGCUUAAUCUCUCUCUGGGUUCAUAAUCUUACUAAGGGGUUGUACCAGAACAGGUUUACAUGGUUUUAUUUUCAAAAAACACCAUAUUUUUGUCAUCCUGCACAUUGCUGCAGCUCUUCUUUUCACCCUGUGUUGAAGGCUUCAAAUUUUUCCAAAGUUUCACAAGACCAGAUUUUUUUGUACAUCAACAUUUCUGUCCAUCAUCCAGAUGUCUCUUGAUUUAAGUUAAAACCUUACAAAAUUAUUCAGAACAUAAUGACAGAAUAACAGCGGUACGAACGUUAAAACUAUCUUACAACUGUGGGUCUUUACUCUGCUGUUGUUGCUGGACUCUGCUGUGUUGGCUGCAGUGGUCUGCGUGUCUGAGGGCUCUGUGAGCUGAUCUGGCCGGUCGGCCCGUUAGCUCCCCCUGCUGACGGUUGCGGAGCGUCACAACGCCGAAAAGUAUUGAGCACAUUUUCGAUUCGCCAUCAUUUUUAGUAAAAUUGCCAUUAUUCGAUAUCUACACAGUUCAUUUCUCACCUCAAGACUUCUCAGAAGUGGAUUUAGUAAUGAAAUAACAUACAAAACGUUCUGUUCUGGCCUCUCUCUCAGCUUCUUUCCACCCCUCGCUUGAAUGCCGAAAUGAAUGCUGGGAUAUAUCUGCUGUCAAGUUCACACAAGUUACCAACCGAUGCAUCCUCUGUAAAAUGGGCUUGUCAAGAACAUUUCCGGGAUUUUUAACCAUUCUUGCCAAAAUGCAAACUUGGGCCACAAAAGAUGACGUGUUCUUGUGUUCUUAUGAAACAAGUACAGGCAAGAACAUGGAUUAAGAAAGGCCCCACGUCUCUAAAUGAUCUUUGUUGGGAGUUGCACAUGUUCAGUACCUAGUUAUGGACUACUAGCCAAUCAGAAGCAGAGUAGGGCGGGCCCUGAGAAGCCGGUAUACACGGCUUCGGUUCAGCUGUAUA